CGGAAAACUGGGGAUAAUACCGGAUGGUUCCUGCGGGAUAAAGAUUUAUCGCCAAAAGAGGAGUCCGCGUACGAGUAGCUAGUUGGUGAGGUAAUGGCUCACCAAGGCGACGAUCGUUAGCUGGUCUGAGAGGACGAUCAGCCACACUGGGACUGAGACACGGCCCAGACUCCUACGGGAGGCAGCAGUGGGGAAUAUUGGACAAUGGGGGCAACCCUGAUCCAGCCAUGCCGCGUGAGUGAUGAAGGCCUUCGGGUUGUAAAGCUCUUUUGGCGGGGACGAUGAUGACGGUACCCGCAGAAUAAGCCCCGGCUAACUUCGUGCCAGCCGCCGCGGUAAUA
rnacentral:rRNA from 1 species